UUGCAGCGGUUAAAACGCUCGUAGUUGGAGUUCUUGUCGAGGCAGCUGGACCACCCUCUGGGUGCGUAUCUUGCUUGGCUUUGACAUCGCCUCGACGGGCGCAUGCGCGCUUUAUUGUGUGGUGCUGCGCGUUGGCAUGUUACUUUGAGGAAAGUAAUGCGCUUUAAGCAGGCACUGGGCUUGAAUAUGCUAGCAUGGAAUAAUACGAGUUGACAUCAGUUCGGCUUUGUUGGUUCACCGAGCUGGGUUUGCGACCAAGACAAAUAGUUGGGGGCAUGUGUAUUUAGUUGUCAGAGGUGAAAUUCUUGGAUUUGUUAAAGACAAGCAGUUGCGAAAGCUUUGGCCAAGG
rnacentral:rRNA from 1 species